AUGCCGGAGGCAAAGUGUUCAGCGGCAACGGAUUUGAAGGUGGUGGCAGUAGCAGAUCGGCACGGCCAUGCGUACGAAUCUCAAGAUAGGCAGCAGCAUACGGCCAGCCGGCGGCAUCACAGUAGCUCGGCUCUGUUACAACGAGAGGAUGAGAAGGGAAGGAAUUCCGCACUACGCACGCCACCGUAUACUACCAGACACACUCAAAGAAUGUGUCCAAUUAACCUUGGAUGCCGGAGUGUCCAUCAGGGGAGGGAAGUUCGCGAGGUGCUGAAGCACAGCGCAAGGGAACCAUCUCCAUGGCCAACUCCGGCACCAAAGCGAUACACUUUUUUUGGCUAG
rnacentral:rRNA from 1 species